AUGAAAUAAAUUUCAUUCAAAUGACUUCAAAAGACAAUAAAAUUUGCCAAGAAAAAUAAACGUCUCCCGCGUCGCGGGAAAUGUUAAACGAUGGCGACGUCUGGAGUUGACCAAGCAGACGAAAUUGAACAUUUGGGUUAUGAAUAUCAGGAGAAUGAGGUUUUAGGUUCUCAGAAAGAAGCAGGUACUAUUCGAGCUGUUGAUAAAGAGUCUGUGCAUCGAAUCUGCUCAGGCCAAGUUGUUCUUUCGCUGGCCACUGCCGUGAAAGAGCUAGUAGAGAACAGUGUUGAUGCUGCAGCAACCUGCAUAGAAAUCAAACUAAAAGAAUAUGGAGCAGAGAGCAUUGAGGUCUCUGAUAAUGGUCUGGGUGUAGAAGAGAAAAAUUUUGAAGGCCUUACUUUAAAACAUCACACCUCAAAAUUGUCUGACUUUAGUGACUUGGUAAAUGUAACCACAUUUGGAUUCCGUGGCGAAGCUCUCAGUUCAUUGUGUGCCUUAAGUAAUGUGACCAUUAUAACUCGUCAUGACAGUGCAGAUGUGGGGACUAAGCUUGUUAUAGAUGGCAAUGGAAAGAUUGUCUCCAGAAGCCCCAUUCCACGGCAGAGGGGAACAACAGUAAUGGUGCAAAAUCUGUUCUAUUCAUUACCUGUACGGCAUCGAGAAUUUCAGCGAAAUUUGAAGAGAGAGUUUGGAAAGAUGAUGCAGGUGUUAAAUGCUUACUGCCUCAUCAAUACAACUGUUCGCAUAUCUUGCCACAAUCAGACAGGCAAAGGAAACAGGAUGACCAUGGUUUGUACCAAUGGAAAUCCAUCAGUUAAGGCCAACAUUGCAGAUGUGUUUGGGCCAAAGCAGCUGAUGAGUAUAAUGCCAUUUGAGCAACAUAACCCUACAGAAGACAUUUACACAGAAUUUGGCAUUAGACCUGACCGGUCCCAAACAUGUAACCUAAGAAUAGAAGGGUUUAUUUCUAAAUGUGAGCAUGGCCAGGGGAGAAGCAGUGCUGAUCGUCAAUAUGUCUUCAUCAACAAGAGACCCUGUGAUGCUCACAAGGUGUUGAGGGUAGUCAAUGAAGUGUAUCACAGCUACAACAGGCACCAGUACCCGUUUGUGGUCCUGCUCAUUUUCAUGUCUUCAGGGUCAGUGGACGUGAAUGUUACUCCAGACAAGCGUCAGAUCUUUGUAGAAGGAGAGCAAAUCCUGCUUGCCACAUUAAAGACAUCCUUGGUGCAAAUGUAUGAGCCCACCACAUCUGUAUUACCUGUGACAGUUAUUCCUCAUGUUGUGCCAGGCAGUUCUCUGAGUAGCCCAAAAGAUAUGACUGACUCAUCUCCUGCAGCCUUUUCACAGAGCCCACCAAGUCCUAGAUUGCUGACUCCAGGAAGUACCAGUAUCUCACUUUCAUUAGCAAGGCUCAAGAGAUCCUUCUCCAGUACUUUUGACAAGAACAGCAGUACACCAUUACAAAGUUUUCAUCAUAGUAAACAAAGGAAAGUUAAUAUACAUGUGGCAAAGAGUUUCAGUCUACCGACUGGAAAUAUUACAGAGAGAUCGCCUAAUAAAGGAGCCAUCACCAUGCUUUUUCCUCAGUCUCCAGGGUCCCAGAGAACCAUUUACAAAGAGCCAGAAAUGUCUCCUGCAGUGGUGGAUUGUGAUGUAGAUGUAUAUGACUGUGAUUCUGAUUCAACUACAUCAAGUUUUUCUAAAUCAUGUAGUGGGAUGGUGUCCAUCUUCUCACCUCUGGUAUCAGAUAAUGUGACAGAAUCUUCAGUGGCAGAGGAACAUCAACUGCUCAGCAGCCUUUCUAAAACAGUAGACUUUGAAGAAGUGACGUCAGCACAAGAUUCUGUUAAUGGAUUUCAAGUUUCUGACCCCUUAGACAAGACAGCAUCAAAACUGACAACAUUUCAGAAGUUAGCUGACAAAGGUGAUGAGCCUGAUGGUCUGUCGUGUGUGGCAUAUGUUUCAAAAGAAAGUCCAUCUUUGCAUCAUCUGGAACCUGAAGACUUGCAAGCUGGCGAAGAGACAUGUGUUAGUAUAUCCAGCCAGAAUCACUCUGUCAUGAAUGUUAUUGAUAAGGAAAGAAGUACAACGAUCCAUGAGAAGGAUGAACGGCAAGAAGACAGAACAAAUGAGAUCUGUCAAUCAGAGCAAGACAGCUGUGCAAGAACAGGUCACACAUAUGAUUAUGAGAUUGCUGAAGACAGAAAUGUGCGAACUGAAGACCUCAGGUUCUCAUUUCAGAAAUUAAAGGAGUGUCUGCAAGUGAUACAAAAAGAAAAGGCGUUGCAAAACAAGACCAGCUGUGUCCGCUCCUUCCGGGCAAAGAUCUGUCCAAGUCAGAACCAGGCAGCAGAAGAGGAGUUGCAAAAACAAAUUAGCAAAUCCAUGUUUUCUGAGAUGGAAGUUUUGGGGCAGUUCAACCUUGGUUUUAUUAUAGCAAGAAGUGGACGUGACUUGUUUAUUGUAGAUCAGCAUGCGACUGAUGAAAAAUACAACUUUGAGAUGCUCCAGCAAAACACUGUCUUACAAAGCCAACUGUUGAUACAUCCACAGAGUCUGGAAUUAACAGCAGCCAAUGAAAUCAUUUUACUUGAUAACCUACAUAUCUUCCAGAAAAAUGGCUUUGAAUUUCAUAUUGAUGAAACAGCACCUCCUACUCAGAGAGUCAAGCUAAAAUCUACACCCAUCAGUAAAAAUUGGAAAUUUGGCAAAGAAGGUAGCAUUUAAUAUUAAGUAUAUGUCAUUGUUCACAGGUGAAUGAGACUAAUACAUCAUACAAUUGGUUUUCAUAAUAGCAGCAUUAAGAUCAAGCUACUCUUAACAAUCUUAUGAUUAAUGUGAGACCUAUUUUAUUGUCAAGCUGCAUUUGUUUUGCCAUUCCCUUAUGCUUUGUUAUGUGGCACUGGUUAGAAUCAUUUUGGUUUGAAAGUUGUGAUAAACUGUGUCUUUAUUUGACUAAAGUAGAGGAGGAAAUAUUGAUGUCAGCUUUGGACAUUGUUUCUAAUUGAAUGCUACUCAAAAAGUGACUUUUCAAAAAUUGUUUUGGAUUUGAAAUAUCUUUUAACUGAAAAAGCAUGUCUUCCUCAUCGUUUUAAUACAUAAAGUAUGAAUACUUGAUGUGCUGGAACAGAGUUUUCUUUUCUAGGAAUAUUGAUUUUUCCAUCAGGCUUUUUCGAUGAUUUUUUCCCGACUCAAAAGGCAAACUUUACAUCAUGUAAUUGCUUAAGUGUACCAUAACUAAUACAUUAAUUAUGUGUUUAAAAAUAGAAUAUUGUGCAAUUCACACCACACACAAAUGUGUCAAUAUUAAAUUUUAAAAUAACUUCUAUUCUUAUCUGGCUGAUUUUGAUGAACUUGAUAUCAGUAAUUAUAACAUUUAAGAUCUUGUUAAUCUAUAAAAUUCUGCCAGGUUAUAAGAGGAAAAAAUUCGCCUGAUACAAUAGCAGGGAGUCAUUGUUAGUAGUUACUUUACAUCUUAUAAUGCUGUGUUUUCAUUGUCUCAUCUGCAACCAGAUGGUGAGGUGAGUAGCCGAUGUGUGUGGUAUGUGAGUGGUUUACUAUCACUUCAUUUCAAACAUUGAAAGACCCAAACUUAUGUAAGUGGAAUACAAGAUGAAGGUCAAAUGGUAUGUGACAGUUUAAGGUGCUGUGUCACUGUGGAAAUAUCCUGUGGCAGUUUCUGAUCAGUGUUGGACAAAGAGGGCUAUGAAAACAUCAAAAGAUUUGACCAUGGACAUGACAGUUCAAGAUAUAAAUAUCGAAGAACUGAUUUUUAUGCUGACAGACUCUUCAGGCAUCAUAUGUCGACCAUCUCGUGUGCGUUUGAUGUUUGCCUCAAGAGCUUGCAGAAAGUCUAUCAUGAUAGGAACAGCCUUGAGCAAAGUGGAG
rnacentral:misc_RNA from 1 species